GAUGAAGAACGUAGCGAAACGCGAUACGUAAUGUGAAUUGCAGAAUUCAGUGAAUCAUCGAAUCUUUGAACGCAUAUUGCGCUCUCUGGUAUUCCGGAGAGCAUGCUUGUUUGAGUAUCAGUAAACACCUCAACUUCCAUAUCUUUUUUGAAAUGGGAGUUGGACUUGAGUGAUCCCAACGCUUUUCCUCACCGAAAAGUGGCGGGUUACUUGAAAUGCAGGUGCAGCUGGACUUUUCUCUGAGCUAUAAGCAUAUCUAUUUAGUCUGCCUAAAAAACAGAUUAUUACCUUUGCUGCAGCUAACAUAAAGGAGAUUAGUUCUUGUGCUGACUGAUGCAGGAUUCACAAAGACAGGCUUCGGCCGACUUUGUAAACUCGAUCUCAAAUCAAGUAAGACUACCCGCUGAACUUAAGCAUAUCAAUAAGCGGAGGA
rnacentral:misc_RNA from 1 species